rnacentral:rRNA from 1 species
AAGUCGUAAACAAGGUUUCGUAGGUGAACCUGCGGAAGGAUCAUUACCGAGUUAGGGUCCUCUGGCUCGAUCUCCAACCCUUUGUCUACUUACCCUUUGUUGCUUCGGCGGACCCGUCCCUUGGGGACGCCGGAGGGUUUAUCCCUCUGGCCCGCGUCCGUCGAUGGGCCCAUUAAACUCCUGCUAAACAUGUCGUCUGAGUACAAAACAAAAUAAGUAAAAACUUUCAACAACGGAUCUCUUGGUUCUGGCAUCGAUGGAAGAACGCAGCGAAAUGCGAUAAGUAAUGCGAAUUGCAGAAUCCGUGAGUCAUCGAAUCUUUGAACGCACAUUGCGCCCUUUGGUAUUCGCGAAGGGCAUGCCUGUUCGAGCGUCAUUAUCACCUCUCAAACUUCGGUUUGGCGUUGGGCUUUAUAGUUAUAGGUCCCUAUAAUUGGCCUCAAAGAUAGUGACGGCGUCCUAGAAGGAACCGGUACGAGGAGCUUCUAACCAAGCAUGUACACGGCAGGACUCUAGGGUGCUGGUCUUAAUACACUGUUCUUCGGAGCAUAUUUUUCAAGUGUUGACCUCGGAUCAGGUAGGAAUACCCGCUGAACUUAA